CAUAAUCUUAAGCCUUGUAUAUUUGGCCCGAGUUAGCCUUUAAGUUUGACAUGCUUGCUUUAGAACAUUAAUGAUAAACCAGCUGGCUGCAGUAUUUAUUAUAUGUGUAAUGGGCGUGUAGGUGUAGGAGGGGGUCGGGGGUGGAAGGUGUACAAAUCAGCAUCAAAACAGACAGUGUGUUCUGUACCGGACAAGACAGGCAGGUUAGACUUCAUUCUCCGAGCAUGCUUGGUGGAACUUUUGGUUUUGUCUUGUACAUGACUACCCGCCUCCCUGUUUGUUACACAAGUAAUCACUUUCUACACACUUUACUGGACACAACUGAAAAUUAAUAAAAGGAAACACAAGUUCGUCCCGAGUUUUCGCUAUUGGUUACCUCCCUUAAAACCAACAGACACUUUUUUUGGAAUUCCACCGAGAGACCCAAACAAGGAUUACCAGUUCUGAAAAGUUUGGUGAGACUUGGGGACUGUAUCCUGGCAACACCAAAAAAUAAAGGUAACUUCAUGCAAUGGUACAGGGCAUUUGUCUUGUAUGCCCUGUUAAUUUGUGGGUAUUUAUAUUUGGAUUCUGCAGAUGUUGUUGGGCUACUGCUGACUGGUGUUGAAUUCUAGGAAAUGUAGUUUAUAGCUACAGCUGGGCACUACAAAAAUGGGCACCAUUGCUUUAAAUUGUCAAGAAAAUCUAAGAAAGGUUUCUUAAUUAAAGACCAGACCCAUAAUGUCUUGAAACUAAAAAAAAAGAGCCUCCAUGCAACAUAGUCUAGAUGACAAGUGUUGUUAAAUAUUGUACUUCCAGGUUAACUACAACUCCCACGAUUCUUUGUGCACACAUGAUGUAUUUUUAACUAGAGACAUUCUUAUAGCAGUUGUAGUUUGUUCACAACUUGAGGUCGGGCAUUUAAUUAUCUGCGGUCUACUUCCUAGUUGCACUUGUGACAAAACGUAUAAGGACACGCAAAUUCACAGCAAUCCUAUUUACAAUAAAGGCGUGAUUGUCUUUGCUCUGCACAUGUGUAGUUUUAAUCCAGCCGUUCCUUGAGUUGUGCAAUAAAAUACAUCUGUGUGGUUUAGUGAUUAAACCAUAGGUAGCCCCUGGAGAUAAUAUUACAAGCAAUUAUCUGGACCAGCAGUUUCAUUAGGACAUAAAUGCAAUCAUAUCUGCCACUUGUCUAGAGUUUCAGGGACAGUCCCAAUGUUUUUUUGUUUUUUUAAUUUAUUCCUAUCCCAGAAUCCUGCUGACCACGGGUUUGUUUGUUCCAUGUUGUAAAACAAGAUUUCUAAGAUAUUCUGUUCUAUAAAUUGUUCAGCACAGUCAAAUCUACUAUUUGCUAAAAUGAGCUCAGUAACUUCGAGGUUCUGUGGUGAGACAUCUUUUGAGACCUGCAGAGUUCCGUCUACAGAACGUUAAAGGGUAUAUUGUUAAGUACAAGGAGGAGACUAGUAAAUUCUGUGAUUCUUAUAUCUUUACAAUGGUUUCUGUCAAGGGGUGGGAAUCGGGAUAUAUUAGUCAGCAAGUAAACAGUCUGUUAUUGUAUUUUAUGUUUUGGAAGAAGGAAAAACGGGCAAGCGAAAAUAUCUGCGUGACUUUGACAAGGAGAAAUGGGAACUGGGGGCACAUUUCCAAGUAGUGGUGCUGCCGUAAAGACCAAAAUACAGUUGUUAUUGUAUUUUAUGUUUUGGAAGAAGGAAAAACGGGCAAGCGAAAAUAUCUGCGUGACUUUGACAAGGAGAAAUGGGAACUGGGGGCACAUUUCCAAGUAGUGGUGCUGCCGUAAAGACCAAAAUACAGUUAAAGGACCACUCUAGGCACCCAGACCACUCUAGGCUUAAUGAAGUGGUCUGGGUGCCAGGUCCCUCUAGGAUUAACCCUUUUUUUUUUAUAAACAUAGCAGUUUCAGAGAAACUGCUAUAUUUAUAAUAGGGCUAAUCCAGCCUCCAAAGCCUCUAUUGGCUGUCUCAUUGACAGCCGCUAGAGGCGUUUGCGUGCUUCUCACUGUGAAAAUCACAGUGAGAAGACACCAGCGUCCAUAGGAAAGCAUUAUGAUUGCUUUCCUAUGAGACAGGCUGAAUGCGCGCGCUGCUCCUGCCGCGUGAGAGGGGUGAGAAAAAGAAAUAAGGGGCACCCAGCGCUGGAAUAAAGGUAAGUUUAACCCCUUUCCUCGCCAUCCAGCCUGGCGGGAGGGGGUCCCUGAGGGCGAGUAUAUUUUCCUGGCACUAUAGUGGUCCUUUAAAGAAACAGCACACACACAAAAUCAAAAUACAUUUUACAAGGUGACUUACAAUCACCUAUCUCAGCAAACAAAUAUGGAGAUUCAGUUACACCAUAUUGUGUUAAGCCCACCACUGUGUCACGGUACCCCGAUAUCAGUGGGUCUUACACACAUUUUACCAUGAGAGAUUUCAUGCUAACUUGCAAUACUUACAACUUAAACUGCUUCCAGAGACUCUCCUCAAUGUAUGCUUUCCUGUGGACUAUGACGAAAGUCAUAAAAAUGAUGGCUAGAUGACUGUGUCAGAGGCACGGCCAAUCCUGGGCUGGUGUACGUGGUGCACAGCGCCCAAGCGCCAAGAGAUAGCGAACACCGAUGGGAGCGGGCCGAUUGAUGUCACUGGGUGCCCCUGAUGCCGGUACCCAUUAACCAAGGCAGAGUAGGCAUCUGCUUACCUGGACGGCAGGUGCCUACUCUGCCAAAAUACAGUGUGUGUCCCGGGCAAAAGAGGAGGCAAACGGUAGUAGUGAGAUAGGGUCAAGUUUGGGCUUUUUUUUUUACGGAAUCGGGUUGAUUGUUCAUGCUUGAAGGGUGAAGGAAAAAUGCCAGAGGACAGGGAGAGAUUGCAUAUUUUAGUGUUGCAUCAGAGCGGUUUUGGCAGCACAAGUGGGAAUGCGGCGGCGAGGCUCAUCUUCCUGUCCCCCCGCACCUCCCACGUCACCCACUUUGUCAGUCCUUCCAUUGGCUUCCCGUAAGAUAUAGGGCUUUAAGAUCCUGACACUUGCUUACAAAUCUCCACACAAUGCUGAUCCCACCUACUUAUCCUCACUAAUACACAAAUAUGUCCCAUCUAGGCCCCUAUGCUCUGCUGGAGACCUACAUCUAACCUCUGUCUGUUCUCCUACCUAUGAUGCUCACCUUAAACGCCCUAUGGAAUGCCCUUUCCCUUUCUGUUAGGCUCUCACCCAAUCUCCACUCCUUCAAAAAAUCUUUGAAAACCUACUUCUUUAGGAAAGCAUAUCUAUUAAACUGUGAACAACUUUCCCUCCCCGCACUCUGAUUCCUCUCCUGAAAUGGUCAUCAAAACAAAACACUAAGCCCUCAAUGAACACUAUCCUAGCAACCUACCUUUCUACCCUACCCUUACCUUUUGUGUCCCCACUUUACCCCACUCCGCCUAGCAUGUAAACUCAUUGAGCAGGGCCCUCAAUCCCUCUGUUCCUGUGCGUCAUAUUUUUAUGUGUCCGCUGUUCCUUAAUCUGUAUUGUGAUUAGACUGUGGAGGCCUGCAGGGUUCAGAGCUGCAAGAUUUAGUGUAUAGCAAUUUCUUUACUCUAUCAUUUUCUCCGUCUUUGCUAAAUUUGCCCAUUCUUGAAACGGAGACCUCCACAAUAAACAGACUAUUUUUACCCAUUUUGAAUUCCAACACAACUGAAACCUAAAUCUCAGAGCGCUUCUCACAUGCACUGCUUUAACCCUUUGCAAGCACAUUAUAUUAUUGCCUGAGGCGGAAAUCUGGAUUUCAUUACAAGGCGUACAUUCCGAGCUUAGAGUUGUACCAUGGAAGGCAUUCCAUAUUCCGAACAUUAGAAAUUAUUUUACCAGGACAGAAGGCAUGUCUGUGAAGGCAGUUGCUUGUUUAUGAUCAUGCCAAUCUGGAACGUAUGGAUAUAUAUUGACUGGCAUCCAGGUUGGCUAGCAUGCCAGGGUUGGCAAUGCCCACUGCGGUAGCUCUUUCCAAUGGACAUAAUGCAAGAUGGCAGAACAAUGACCUAAAAACAGAUUAGAGGCAUGCCACUUCAAUGGAAUUGUUGGCAUAGUGUACCUUAAAGACAAGGCUACCAUACGUGGGUGACCACCAUGAUGGUUGUCAUGGGCCUGGUGGUCCUGGGGGGCCCGAGCAACCGGGACCACAUUCCCUCUGGCACGCCAAAGGGCCCUAUCAGGUGGUCCAUGCACUUCGGGCCACCAGCUGGACAUACGUCUAAAGGGACCUGGUCAUUGCUGACGAUCUCUCAUACUGGGACUCAGGGCCGCGACCAGAAAUUUUGGGGCCCCUGACAAAGCAAGGUCUGGUAGUGUAGUGGUCAGUGUAAUAAAUGCAGAGUGUGUGUUAGUGUAGUGAAUGCAGAGUGUGUGUCAGUGUAAUGUGGCAACCGGGCUCAAAUUCCCAAUGUGCACACACAUAUAUAAGGAUUAUCGCUACAUAUAUAUUUGCCCCGGCAAUGGUGGAACUACUGCUAGUGCAGCCGGUGUGGUUGCACUGGGGCUGGCACGCCGAGGAGCCCUAUCAGGUGGUUGAUGCACUUCGGGCCACCAGAUGAACAUACGUCUAAAGGGACGUGGUCAGUGCUGUUGAUCUCUAAAACUGGGACUCAGGGCCACCACCAGAAAUUUUGGGGCCCCUGACAAAGCACAAGGUCUGGUAGUGUAAUGGUCAGUGUAGUCAUAGGCGUGUGCACGGGGUGUGCCGGGUGUGCCUGGGCACACCCUAAUCCCCGUGGCACGCCUAUGGUUUGAGUCCUGCAGGAACAGCGUUCCUGCACUUUUUUUUGAGCAGGAACGCUGUUCCUGCAGGCACUCAGCGCCCCACUCACCUCUUGCCCCUGUCAUGGGGGGGCAAGAGGUGAUGGAUUCCCCUCACCCCCUCUCCAGCUGAGCCGCGGCGAGGGAGCUCUCUGCUCUCUGCUCCCUCUCGCCGCGCGCUGAUGCCGGGAGCCGGAAUAUGACGUCAUAUUCCAGCUCCCAGCUCCAGCAGACAGCCCGCGUGGCGAGAGGGAGCAGAGAGCAGACAGCAGAGAGCUCCCUCGCUGCGGCUCAGCUGGAGAGAGGCGCCCGCCCCACUGGACCCCAGGGAAAAGUCCCCGCCAGCACUCCAGGUAGGAGGCUGGGUGGACAUUGUUUUUUAUUAAAAUAUAAUAAUUUGUUCUCGUGUGUGUGUGUCUGUGAGUGUGUAUCUGUGUGUUUGUGUGUGUGUGUCUGUGAGUGUGUGUGUGUGUGUGUGUUUGUGUGUGUGUGUCUGAGUGUGUGUGUGUGUGUGUGUGUGUCUGUGAGGUGUGUGUGUUUGUGUGUCUGUGGGGUGUGUGUCUGUGUGUGAGUGUGUGUCUGUGUGUGAGUGUGUGGUGUGUGUGUGUGUGUGAGUGUGUCUGUGUGUGAGUGUGUGAGGUGUGUGUCUGUCUGUGUGUCUGUGAGGUGUGUGUCUGUGUGUGUGUGUGUGUGAGUGUGUGUGUGUGUGUCUGUGAAUGUGUGUGUGUGUGAGUGUGUCGGUGAAUGUGUGAGUGUCUGUGUGUGCGUGUCUGUGAAUGCGUGUCUGUGAGUGUGUGUCUGUCUGUGUAUGUGUGUGUGUGAGUGUGUGUCUGUGUCUGUGAGUGUAUGUAUGUGUGUGUGUGUCUGUGAGUGUGUGUGUGUACGCAUAUAUAUAUAAAUAUAUAUAUACACACACACACACAGAGCCGGCGCUAUCUGAGUGCCGGCUCUGCUCUAAGCCUCCAUGGGCCGGCGGGAGACCAAAGAUCUACCUCACCGGUCCACAGCAGCAUGGAGGGAGGCAGGAGAGGACCCAGGGAGCUCUAGACAGAAGCUCCGCCAGGUUCCUCUCGCGAUAUCUGAGCGUUGCUGCGGCAACGCUCAGAUCUCGCGAGAGUUAACUCUAGCCCCGCAGGCUAAAGUUCACUCUCCACUGGACCACCAGGGAUGGCACAUGGCAGCAAGGAUUUACUAAUCUGCCAAAUCCCUCCAAACAUACAGCACACAUACAUACAGCACCUACACACAUACAGCUCACACACACACAGUACACUAACCGCACCCUCACAAACACACACAGCACCUUUAAAAAAAACACAACACCCUCACACACAGCACACUAACAGCACCCUCACAAACACACACACAAACAGCACCCUCACAAAUACACGACACUCACACACACAACAGCACAGUCACAAACACACACAAAUACCCUCACAUCACACUAACAGCACCCUCACACACACAUUACACUAACAGCACACACAGCAGUGUAUGUAUUUGUGUGUCUGUAUGUAUGUAUCUAUCUAUAUAUAUAUAUCUAUAUAUAUAUAGAUAGAUAGAUAGAUAGAUACACACACACGGCGGGUGUUUGUGCUUUAGGGUGCACACCCUAAUGCAAUAGGCUGCGCACGCCUAUGAGUGUAGUGAAUACAGAGUCUGUGUCAGUGUAGUGAAUGUAGAGUGUGUGUCAGUGUAGUGGAUGCAGAGUGUGUGUCAGUGUAAUGAAUGCAGAGUGUGUGUCAGUGUAAUGAAUGCAGUGUGUGUGUCAGUGUAAUGAAUGCAGUGUGUGUGUCAGUGUAGUGCAUGCAGAGUGUGUGUUAGUGUAGUGAAUGCAGAGAGUGUGUGUGUGUGUGUUUACUAGUGUAUGCAUGUAAUGUAAAUAUAAUAAAUGUUUCUCCCCCUCCCUGCUUCUUACCUGAUUCAGGGAGGGGGGAGAUUCCAUCCCUGGUGGUCCGGUGGCACUGUGGGGCCCCCCCAGCUCCCUAUACUUGCAGAGGGGGCCCAGUAGACUGCAGGAGCACAUUACAGCAUUUCCCUCGCUCUAACUCCCGCGAGCGUGGUCUGCGUGCCGCGCGGAGCGUUGCCAUGGUAACCCGUGGCAACGCUCUGACGGCCGCAGGUCUCGUGGGAGUUUGAGAGAGGGAAGACCUGUAAUGUGCUCCUGCAGCCUGCUGGGCCCCCUCUGCAAGUAUAGGGAGCCGGGGGCCCACGGCUGCACAUAUAUAUAGCGAUCAUCGCUAUAUAUAUAUAUAUAUAUAUAUAUACAUGUGCAGAGAGGGAAUGUGGGGCCCAGGACUGCCUAAGCAGUCAGGCCCCCCCAGGACCGCCAGGCCCAUGACAACUGUCAUGGUUGUCACCCCCUGAUGGUGGCCCUGCUGGGACUAGGCCCCUUUAUUUUUAUUUUCUUUGUAAAUAUAAUUUGUAUUAGUUUUUUUAACGUAUUAGGGGAUAGUGAGACCCAGUAUUAAUCCAGUACGUAGUAUUGUUAGGUUCAGUUAGUCAUACACAUUGUUGGGCUCGCAGGCCCACAGUGCUUUGUUCUUUAACGUGGUAGGUAAUAGUGAGACUCGCAGGUCUCCGUAUAUAUUCAAUAUGUAGUUUUGUUGGGUUCAGUUAGCCAUAUGCAUUGUUGAGCUCGCAGGCCCGCAAUGUUGUCGGACACGCAGGUCCCUUACAUUUUAUAAGCAGUUAUUAGGGCAUGUGUCUCGUGUUGUGUUUAGGUUUGUAUUGGUGUCUCGUUGUCAUGUUAGUGUUCUACUCUAUAUCUACUGCCGUAUGUGUUGUGAUGGAUUGCUAGUCUGCGUGUCGGAUUUCUGCUUGUGUGUGUUCAACUGUUCAUGUCUUAUUAAGCUUCAAUGCAUGUCCACUUUAGUAGGUGGUUUAAGGUGUAUCCAGAUACCUGCCGCAUUUGGUUUGUUCAAGAGAUUUAGGUGGUGUGUAUUGUUUUGCAGGUUUGCGGUGCCUGUCUCUUGUUUCGCAUUGGAGUGUUAAGGUGGUCCGAUAGGUGGGCCGCUAAGUCCAUGUCGGUCUCUGUCUUUUAGGGAGGGGUGGCAUUCUGUGGUGUUGUUGCCCUUACUCCUCAGUGUAAAAGCGUAUUUAGCGGUCUCGAGUAGCUACUGUGUCCAAGUCUCCGCAUAAGUCGUGGGCGUGGCUGUGGCUGUCAUGGUCUUCUAUUGCCCUGAGUUCUUCCAUUUGAGUGAACCAUGCCCCUAGCGGGGGUGCUAUUUUUUUGCUUCCAAUAUUGGGGGGAGUAUCUGAUUGGCUACAUUCAGUAUCCUAAUUGUCAUGGAUUUCUUGUAUUUAGAUCUAGGUACUGUCGUGUGGUGGAGGAGCAUAGCUGCCGGUUCCAGGGGGGGCGGCGCAUCCGAGAACAUUUCCAGUAUUCUGUGUAUUCCCUCCCAGUAUGGUCUGAUUACCUCGCAUUCCCACCAGAUGUGUAUCGCAGUUCCCACCUCCCUUUCGCACCUCCAGCACAGGUUGGUUUGCUCUGGAUCGAUGUUGUGAAGGAAGUGUGGAGUGCGAUACCAGUUUGUCAGGAUUUUAAAAGCUUUCUCUUGGGUCCUACUGUAUACCGAGCAGUGGUGGGUGAGGUAGCAUACUUGCUCCCACUCCGCGUCAGCGAACGUCCUAUUCAGUGCUGUUUCCCAUUUUCCCAUAAAGAGGGGUUUGUCAAUGGGGGUCUCCGUCUGUAACAUUAUGUAUAGGAAGGAGAUUCCAUGCGGUAGUGGAUCUGGGCUGUUGCAUAGUGUUUCAAAUAAUAGGGAAUGCACGAAGGUGGCGAGUUGUGUGUUUAAAUCUGUGUAGAAAUGUAGGUAUGGUUUCUCCAAGCAUGUCCGUCAGUGGUUUACAUUUGCCGUUGGUGAUUAUGUGGUGCAGUCUCGGGAUCGGGGCCGGGAGAAUUCCCUGAAAUGCCUUUGGGUCUAGACCUGGCGUGAAGUCGAUGUUGUGUGUCAGUGGUAUUAGAGGGGAGGGGUAGGGUGCUAGACCAUUCUUCCUCGAGGCUCUACGCCACACGUUCAGAGUGUGUUUGGUGUAUGGGGACAUGUAAAUGCUUUCCUAUGAGACCGGCUGAAUGGGCGCGCAGCUCCUGCCGCGCGUGCGUAUUCAGCCGAAUGGGAGGAGAGGAGGAGGAUCGGAGGAGGAGAGCUCCCCGCCCGGCGCAGGAGAAAGGUAAGUUUUAACCCCUUUCCUCUCCCCAGAGCCGGGCGGGAGGGGGUCCCUGAGGGUGGGGGCACCCUCAGGGCCCUAUAGUGCCAGGAAAACGAGUAUGUUUUCCUGGCACUAUAGUGGUCCUUUAACACACACUGCAUACACUACACACACUGCAUCCUUGUGGGCAGAUUCAGGGGCUGGUCCCAUGGGCAAACUCAGGGAUGGACCCAGGGGCCUAGACAUAGAGCUUUGUCAGUGGCCCCAAAAUGUCUGAUAGCAGUCCUACUUAAAGACUAUGUUUUAAUAUGCCUGUCAGGCAUACAACUAGUAUUAAUUUACAUGUCCUGCCCUAGCUGUAUAAUGUAAUUAAACAAUUAUAUACAUAGGCGUGCGCAGCCUAUUGUAUAAGGGUGUGCAUCCUAAAGCAGAAACACACACGCUGUGUAAAUAUAUAUAUAUAUAUAUAUAUAUAUAUAUAUAUAUAUAUAUAUAUAUACACACACACACACAUAUACAUACACACAUACACAUACAUACACACUGCUGACAAGAGACGUGCUUACGGCUUCUGCAGAACUGCAAAAACUGCAAGCCAACGCAGUCACCAUUCAUGGGUUGAGGGUGUCAGCUGACCACUCUCAGCCAGUUAAUGCAGUUCAGUGAAAAAAAUUAAAUGAGCAAAGUGUUGACAUUAGACAAGUCAGAACUUGAUUGAUGACACCCCAGUGAAACUGAGCCGAAGGGUAAAUCUUCGUAUGUGCAGCUUUUUAAAAUGAAACAUUGCACAUACAGACUCCAGGCACCAUAACCACUUCAAAUCACUGAAGUGGUCAUUGUACUUGAAGCAAUCCUUUAAGAGAGUUCUGACCACCUAGUAUCAAAGGUAACACAACUUCCCUACACAAACUUAGUGUUACUGGACCCACAAUAGUUUUCUGAACCCAUAGAACAGCAUCUUACUCACAGCAAAUCCUAUGGCACAGCAGAAUGUGACAUUAGCUUGAUACCAGAGGUCAACCAUUAAUUAAGCAUCAAAGUUCAUUGGGCAUCCCUUCUUAAUUACACUAUUGAUUUAUUUUUUCCUACAGUAUAUAAAUCAUAUUUGUGGCAGGGUAGCCAUUGUUCAGAGACUCGGACGAUGUCUCUGAUGAUGUCUCCGAUGAAGUACACGUAUUGUUUAAGUGGCUUGUCUCUGAUGCUGAGACCCAAUCACAAAUUUUAAACGAAGAAAUAAAGGGACUAUGUUUCACACCUUCUUCGUGCAACUCGGCUCUCCUUUCUCCUUACAAAUGUCUUUGGAACUUUGUUAGAUGUGUUACAGGCUCAGACCCUGUUGCUGCCCUUGUGAAAUUAUUCCAUUAAAAAAAAAGGUCAAUGAUGUAAUCCCAAGCUAUUUACGGUCACAUGCAGAUACCAUUAAAACCAAAGGAAGAAGGGGCAUUUACCCCCUAAUUGCUCUCUGCUGUGGACCAGCGAAAGCCUUUAAUGGUCACCAGGGCCGGUAGUGAUCUAAAAAAUGAUGGCAUUGCCAAUUAAAUAAACAAGGGAGAAUGACCCCUGAUGCCCAUCAUAAUCAGGUGUCCCCAUGUAGCCUUAGAAAUAUUUAGAAGUUGCCUUACAAAUAAAAAAGAAAAAGAAAUAAUAGACUAUGAAGUCUCAAGAGUUACAGGGAUCAGUUUACAAAACUGCUAGUAGAAGAAUGAACUCUGCCCUACAGAUAAGAAUAGAUUUUCCUAAAACAUACAUAACAAGUUGUGCUUGCAAACCACGUGACCAUCGCUGGGUAACAGAGUGGGAGAGGUGAACUAAGGUGCGAUGUGCUGCCGACUGCAGGAAAUGAACUUUAACUAGACGUGGAAUCAAGGCCCUGGGAAUAUCAACUAAAGCUUAGACUUUGAAGUUCAGUUUGAACCCUGACAGCCGUAGGCAUGAGCAGUUUGAGUUGGUGUGAGAAAACUCUAUAGCUACAAGGGCCAAAAGGUAGAUUCCCAACUGUGCAUAACUACAACUCCUGUGAUGCUGUGCAAGUGUUAACACUGGUAGAGGGGGGUUGCUGUGCCACACCACUUUGGGUUUACUUUUGGUCAAUGUAUUUUCAAAGCAGUCAGAGAGCACAAGAGUCUGCUCUCUAUGGUUUGCUUUAUGCCAACUUGAGCUAAUUUAAUUGCCAAGUAAAACAAUCUAAAAUGAAAGAAAGUAAAGAGACACUCGGGGGUGUUUAAAAACCCUAUUUCACAUUGCUCACUCCAUAGUGUAUGUAACUGAAAAUUGGCAAAAAUCACUGGUUAUCAGACUGCCAUUUCUAAAAGGGACCUCAACUUUGAAAUUUUAUUUCCUAAUUGGAAAUCAAUAAUCCACCCACCUUGUAUGGAUGGCAUGCACAUUCCGGGUGGGCGCUUACUGUUUACGACCCUCUCGAGUAAUUCCAUUUCAGUAGCUAAGGAGAACACUGUAUGCAGCUCUGUUCACAAAAGGGUGAAUAGGGACAUCAAUAUUGUUAUUAUUAUUGCCAUUUAUGUAGCGCUAACAGAUUCUGUAGCGCUUUACAAUAUUAUGAGAGGGGGAUUUAACUAUAAAUAGGACAAUUACAAGAAAACUUAAAAGAACGAUAGGUUGAAGAAGACUCUGAUCAAACGAGCUUACAGUCUAUAGGAGGUGGGGUGUAAAACUCAAUAGGACAGGAGGUAGCUAUCAAACAAGGUGGGAGUGAAGCAGAGCUGGAGGAGAGAGUAGAGUGCUGCCUUUUGGAGAGAGCAUGAGACAGCUGUGUAAGGUAGAGGUUACUCUGGGAGGCCAUAAGCUUUAUUAAAGAGAUGGUUUCUUAAACGAUUGAAGACUAGGGGAGAGUCUGAUGGCGGUAGACAGGCUAUUCCAUAGGAAGGGAGCCGCCACUGAGAAGUCCUGCAAGCGUGAGUUGGCCGUACAGAUGCGAGCAACGGACAGAAGAAGGUCACGGGCAGAGCGGAGAGACUGAGAAAGGUCAUACCCAUGGAUCUGUGAAGAGAUAUGAGAGGGGCUAGAAUUGUUCAGUGCUUUAUAGGUAUGGGUUAGCACUUUGACUUGACUCCUAUAAGAUACAGGAAGCCAAUGUAAGGACUGACAGAGGGGUGAGGUAAGAGUGGACCGACUAGAGAGGACAAGCUCCUUGUUAGCAUCUUGAGUAAGAAAGGGGCAGAUGCAGGCUGUGUUUUUAAGAGGGAAUCUACAGGAUUUGGCAAUAUACUGGAUGUGAGGCUCAAAGGUGAGGCCAGACUCAAGAAUAAUGCCAAGACAGCGUGCUUGCAGGGAUGGACUUAUGUGGAUACCACUAACUUAAAGGGAGAGCGGAAGAGAAGGAUCAGUAUUAGGAGGAGGAAAGACAAGGAGCUCCAUUUUUUAAAGAUUGAGUUUCAGAAAGCGAGAGGACAUCCAGCCAAAGAUGGAAGAAAGGCAAGCAGUGACACGUUGCAGGACGGCAGGGGAGAGGUCCGGGGAGGAGAGAUAUAACUGGGUGUCAUCAGCGUACAGGUGGUAGUGGAAUCCAAAAGAGGUAAUAAGUUUCCCAAGAGAGGCAGUAUAAAAGAGAAAAUAGAAGAGGACCAAGGACAGAGCCUUGGGGGACUCCAACCGAGACAGGAUGAGGGGAGGAGGUAUCAUUAGAAAAGGACACACGUAAUGAGCUUUGGGAGAGAUAAGAGGAAAACCUUGAAAGUACAGAGUCACAGAGACAGAGUGAUUGAAAUGUUUGAAGAAGGAGAGCAUGAUCAACGGUGGCAGCAGAGAGGUUUUUUUUAGAAAAGACACAGGGCGAAGAACGCCCCUUCUUGAGACCAAGACCAAAAAGACAAUCUUACCGGAGAAAUCGAUUUUAGAGAGAAAACAAGUGGUGAAUUUAUCACACUAUACUUUAACCCAGGUUGAACUUAAUCUACUGGAAAGGGGUUUAUCUUUUGUUCCAGUCCCUCGUUUUGACAAAUUCACCUGGGUUAAAGAUAUUCAUCUAUUUGCUCGAAAACUUUUACUCCAUAAAAUACAUGUUCAAAAUAAAGAAAAAAAAAGGCUAAAACAUUGGGCCUCGAACUUAAGGAUUAUGAACGCACUCUUCUUCUAGCAGAACUUCUAGAAGAAAGUGACCCUCUCGAAAGAAAAAUUUGCCCCUGUACAAAACUUUGCCGUAAAAGUGAAUUUUGCCCAAGACUGGGAGACUCCAAAUAUAUAGAGACUUUUUUGGAAAUGGUCUGUAAAGAAAUUGACACUUUGUCUCCCACUAAAUCCAUGCCUAAAUCGAAUUCUAAUCUGUCUAGUCUUGAAUCAAAAGCCUUAAAAAAUCUUCAAGCAAGAGAAGAAAUAACUAUUAAACCCUCUGAUAAAGGGGGAAACAUAGUUAUUUUAGAUACUUCCCAGUAUGUUACAAUUACUAAGAGGAUUCUUAUGGAUAAUACAACAUAUGAAGUAUUAAAAACAGAUCCAACUAAAAUCUUUUUGAUUAAAUUGAAACAAAUUUUACAAAGGGGCCUAGAACAUAACUUGAUCUCUAAAAAAGAAUAUGACUUUAUGUUUAAUAUCAAUCCACGUAUACCAACAUUCUAUAGUCUACCCAAAAUUCAUAAAAAGUAUCAAGAACUAACAGGUAGACCGAUUGUGUCAGGAAAUAAUAACCUGACACAGAAUGUUAGUAUAUAUUUGGAUCACAUUCUACGACCCCUGGUAACUAAACUUCCCUCCUAUCUAAGGGAUACAAAGCAAACACUGGCACAUCUUAACACUCUGAACAUGCCCAUAGACUCAAUGCUUUGUAGUCUGGAUGUGGAGGCACUUUACAGUUCGAUUCCCCACUCCAUAGGACUCCAAAAUGGACAGUACUUCCUAUUACAGAGUGGCCCACAUCUACACCAACAUAGCGAAUUCGUCAUUGAACUAUUGCACUUUGUGCUGACACAUAAUUUCUUCCUGUUUGAUGGUAAAUACUACCACCAGGUGCAGGGUACGGCGAUGGGGAUGUCUUGUGCACCCUCAUACGCCAACCUGCACCUGUGCUGGUGGGAAGAAAAAAUAGUGUUCACGCCUAGCUCUAAUCAUUUUAUUUGAUAUAUUCUCUCCUGGAAGAGAUAUAUCGAUGAUAUUAUGAUUGUAUGGGGAGGUACUACAGAAGAUUUUACUUUCUUUGUACAAUCACUUAAUGACAAUGCUCUAAACCUAAGAUUUACAUCUGAAAUGGGCAUACCUAGUCUUAAUUUCCUGGACCUUACUUUAACCCCCAAUACAAAGGGUGGUAUUAAAACUGACCUCUUUAGGAAAAGCACAGCCACCAACAGUUUACUUAACUGGGGAAGUCACCAUCCAAUCCCCUUAAAAAGAGGUAUACCAACGGGACAGUAUUUACGCCUGAGGCGUAACUGUUCCGACGUCCAGGAUUUUAAAGUGAGAGCUAGAGAAUUACGUGCAAUGUUCAGAGCGAAAGGAUAUCCACACAAAUGUCUAAAGCGGGCCUAUCAUGGAGCCCUCCUGACUGAACGAGAGGACCUUAUAAAGGAGGUACCGGUCCCCACAAGUAACAAUACUCCUGAUUCAAAAUCUCUAAGAGUUAUUGCCACCUAUGAUGCUGGUUGGGAUCAGGUUAAAUCUAUUCUGAACAGAUACUGGCCCCUACUCCAGCAAGAUGAACAUUUGAAAGAAAUCCUUCCCCCAAACGUGACCCUUACAGCACGGUGGGGUAAGAAUAUCAAGGAUGCCCUUGUACAUAGCCAUUUUAAACAGUCUAAAACGACUAAUACUCAUUGGCUAUCUAACAAACUUUUGGGGACCUACAAAUGCGGUCGAUGUAGGGCUUGUGCCUUUAUCUGCAAGGACUCAAAAAGCUUUUAUAAUAGCACUCAUCUUGAUACUUUCUAUCCAAAUUCCUUCUUUAAUUGUAACUCUAAAGGCCUAGUGUAUUUAAUAAAAUGCCAAUGUGGUAAAUUAUACGUAGGCAAGACCUUCAGACCUUUUAAAAGACGGAUUUUGGAGCAUAUUAACUCCAUAAAAACCAGUAGACACAUUGAAACUUCAGUGUCUAGACAUGUUAAGAAUUUUCAUCAAGGUGACCAUACGGUACUCCAAUUUUUAGGGGUAGAAAUGGUCAAAUUGGAUCAAGGGAAGGGGAACCUGGAUAAACUCCUUAGGAGGAGGGAGUGUUUUUGGAUUUAUUGCCUGAACACUCUCUCCCCUAGGGGGCUAAACGAAGGCUUCUCCUAUUCCCCAUUUAUUAGCGAUCUCUGAUUUUAAGAAUACCAUCUGUAUAUAUAUAGGGACUUUAUAAAGACAUAGAAUUCACAAUGUAAAUACACAUUCAUUUAUUCUAUUCACCUUUAUUGUUAUUAUUUUUUUCUUAACUUUUGAGAAAUACCUCUAAUAUCUAAUCAUAUGACUACUAUAGAUUUCCAUCUGAGGCAUAUUAUUCCUCCAAGUCUGGUUUCUUCAUAUAUUUAGUUAUAAUUAAAUAACUUAGAUAUACCUAAUUAUACAGUAUAUUGGGAUUUAUUCCACCCUGAGUAUAGUUUAUUCCACCCUGGUCUUCAAUUAAUACAAUGGACUACCACUUUAUAUGCUAUCAGCAUUUAGUCUAUUUUUUUGCUGACCAGAAACUUAUAGAUAGGUAUAUUUAUUGUGAUUGGAUGUAGUUACACAUCUAUGCAUGUUCUAACUUGGCCUAAUAAUAAGUGAUAAAUAUUGUGUUACUUGAUACACAACAACAAUUUUAUAUUUGUACUUCGUUCCUCAUAAGGCCAUUCUAGUUAAUCUUUGCUAAAUCAUCUAAAUCGCGUUAGAUACAUCAUAACGAUAUUUUGAGGAGCAUUAGCUGUCACUCACGGCAUACUUCUCCACCUAUUUUUUUGCCCACGGCUAAUAGGUAGAGAGGAGUAGGGGAGGAUCUUAUGAUUUAUUCCCUCCCUCUUCCUCCCCUCUAUCUCUCCUCCUACCCUAGCUGAUUAACUCCGCCCCUCUAGACCCACGUGGGGUCGGACGUUGGUAGACGGCGUUACGCCCACGUCCAGAGAGGCGUGGACGUACCAACACCCUGCCCAUAUCAUGCCCCUCUACACACCGGGAGAACAUUACCGGACGAUUUGGGGAGCCCUCCUAUUGGUGAUCGAGGAUUUAAAAACCAUUUCAUUUGCAGAGGUAUUUUUAGCCCCUGACGAAGGUGCAUUAAACGCACCGAAACACGCGUCGGGUUUAACCUUUACCUUUUUCUUUAUUUUUCACAAUGGUAGCACUAAAUGUUUGAUUUUUGAUUUAUUUCAAGUUUUGUCCCAGCACUGACUCAUUGAAUCCAAGAGGAGAUAGAUAGAGACAGUGUAUCUACUUGCUCCUUUAUAGGGACAGCAUAGAACACCCUUGAAGGUGUUGGUCUUUAACAAGUUUGCAGGGAUUCUACUCCUUGUUUAUUAUCUACUUUCUGUAUGCGGCUCUGUUUACUAUUGAUUCACUGAGGUUCUCUAUAUAUAGGGACAGCAUAGAACACCCUUGAAGGUGUUUGUUUCUAGGAGCUUUCAGGGAUUUUACUUUUUAUCUACAACUCUCCUUUCCUUUGCUGUAUUGUUCAGCAUUUACAUACUGAGGGUCUCUUAUUAGGAACAGCAUAGAACACCAUUGAAGGUGUUGAUUUUUAGGAGCCUUCAGGAACUAUUAAUUUUCUAUUUAUUACUCUCUUUCAUAUGCUGUUCUGUUUAGCACCUAUCUACUGUGGUUCCUCCUUUCCUUAUUAUAAUAUAGGUCGAGGGACAGUAUAGGAUAUACCUGACGGUGUUUCAUUUUGGAGUAUUAGGGUAAUUAUUACCUUUCGAUCUAUUAUUCCCUGUCUAUCUAUCUUUUGAUUAAUCAUUAUCUUUUCUUCUCUGGGGAUUAGCAAUUAUAUCCUUAAUGAAGAAUUUGACUUUUCCUCUUGUAGACAUGUGAUAUAUAUAGUAUUCCUAAUUCUUUAGGUCUGAUUUGAUUCCAUCUUUUGCCCCUUUUUUUUAAUCAUUUUAAUUAUAAUACAGUAUCUUUAAUGGUUUCAUUUUAGGGGCCCUUUUGGAAUAUUCAACCAAUAUACUAUAUACUUCGGGAUUAUUUCUCUUUCUAAGGACUUCAGUGCUGGUUCUCUAGUCAUUUAAUGUUAUUAGUACUUUCCUUAUAUUAUAUUUAAAAUCAGCUUAGAGUCUCUUAUUGAGUCUCUAAUAUACCACUUUCUUUAAUAACUGGGUGUCAUCAGCGUACAGGUGGUAGUGGAAUCCAAAAGAGGUAAUAAGUUUGCCAAGAGAGGCAGUAUAAAAGAGAAAAUAGAAGAGGACCAAGGACAGAGCCUUGGGGGACUCCAACCGAGACAGGAUGAGGGGAGGAGGUAUCAUUAGAAAAGGACACACGUAAUGAGCUUUGGGAGAGAUAAGAGGAAAACCACGAAAGUACAGAGUCACAGAGACAGAGUGAUUGAAAUGUUUGAAGAAGGAGAGCAUGAUCAACGGUGGCAGCAGAGAGGUCAAGAAGAAUUAGUAUGGAGUAGUGGUCUUUGGAUUUUGCUGCGAUUAGGUCGUUAGUAACUUUGAUAAGAGUAGUCUCAGUAGAGUGGAGAGGGCGGAAGCCAGAAGAGGGUCAAGGAGAGAGUGGGAAUUGAGGAAGUGAGACAUUUCAGCUUCCAGUGCGGUGGCCUGGAGUUGCAGAGUAAGGUAGUUUUUACUUACCUGAAUCUGACCAUUGCAGGCAGGGCCAGACUGGCCCACCAGGAUACCGGAGAAUUUCCCGGAGGCCCGCAGCACCUGGGGUGCCCUAAUGUACCCUUUAGCUUAUUUUCCUUUGGACUGUAACAGCUUUUUACAGUCUGAGGGAAUUCAGGAGGGAGGUGCUGGGGGCUGAUGCAGCCACAUUAAGGCUCUUGGUGGCUGGAAGGAGCGCUGAUUCUCCACUCACAAUUCCCAGCAUCUUUCCCAAGCUCCCAGGCAUGCAAACUCCGCUUCCACACACUCAAGCUCCACCUCCCGUGCAUAAGCCCCACCCGCACAUAAACAAGCUCUGCCCCACUUGCUGCAGGAAGAGGCCUGAGAAUGGCUGCUUGACCUCCACUGCCAGGUAGGCUUGAAAUACUCAGAUGUCCAUGACAGAGUGAUUGUCAUGGUUCCGCGAGAUUCUGUUGGCGUGGCCACACAUAAACACAGUGGUCACACCGACAGAAAUAAUAAAUACUUACCUUGCUCGCGGCAAAGUGAUACCCAACCUCCUUCCAUCCCGGUCCCCAGCGUGUGUGGCGUUCCUGGAGAUGCCGGCCGCUGCGGUUCCGGUCUUGGUAAGCAUAUAGCCUUUGCCCACAUUAAAGAUGGCGCUUACAUGCGUGCAACGUCACGUCAUAGACGUGUACGCAAGUUUUAGGAUCAGAGGCCAUAUACAGCCAAUUACAGCUUCAAGAGGGUUAUUUAAACCCAAAUUGCUUUUUGAUCAGUGACCUGUCGUGGUUUCCCUUUGAUGGUAAUCAGAGAGUGUAUUCCUGAUCGUGUUUUUCUGGUUUUUGACAUUGGCUCAGUUUUGACCCUGAUUUCUGGUAUCCUUGACUUUUCUUAAUCAGUGUGUAUCAUUCUCUGUCCCUGACCUUGGCUAGUAUUUUGACUAUUCUCGGAUACGUUAAGUCCGGCUUUUCUAAGGUCCGGUUAGACGUUAUCCUUAGUGAUAGGUGUGAUACUAUUUCUGCGUGCUGGAUCAACAGUAAUCCUGACAGUGAUCUUGUGUGUGUAUGUACCUGCUAGUGAGUAAGUUUGUGUGUGUAUGCCAUUGAGCUUGUCUGUAUUGAGCAUGUGUGUGUGUCAGUGAGCUUGUGUGUAAUGAGCUUGUGUGUGUCAGUAAGCUUGUCUGUAGUGAGCAUGUGUGUGUCAGUGAGCUUGUCUGUAGUGAGCUUGUGUGUGUCAGUGAGCUUGUCUGUAGUGAGCGUGUGUGCGUCAGUGAGCUUGUCUGUAGCGAGCAUGUGUGCGUCAGUGAGCUUGUCUGUAGCGAGCAUGUGUGUCAGUGAGCUUGUCUGUAGUGAGCGUGUGUGUCAGUGAGCUUGUGCAUAGUGGGCAUGUGUAUGUCAGUGAGCUUGUGUGUGUGUGUUACUUAGCUUGUUUGUAGAGUCAGUGAGUUUGUCUGUAGUGUGCUUGUGUGUGUGUCAGUGAGCUUGUCUGUAAUGAGUUUUUGUGUGUCAGCGAGUUUGCCUGUAGUGAGCUUGAGUGUGUGUCAGUGAGGUUGUCUGUAGUGAACUUGUCUAAAACAUAUAGAAACAUAGAAUGUGACGGCAAAUAAGAACCAUUCGGCCCAUCUAGUUUGCCCACUUUUCUAAAUACUUUGAUUAGUCCCUGGUCUUAUCUUAUAGCUAGGAUAGCCUUAUGCAUAUCCCAUGCAUGCUUAACCUCCUUUAUGGUGUUAACCUCUACCACUUCAGCUGGACUUUGGGAUCCUCCAAAGACAAAGCCUUUUCCCCCCUCUACUGUCACAGCAAAGGGCUUUCUGUCAAGUGUAGGAAAUAUACAUAAGACAAAAGUAGUCUUUACGUUGUAUUAUAAUUUUGAAUGGGUUCUUAUUUCAGUGAAAUUCACCAUCUUUUAAUUCUAUGAUUUUACAUAUGAGGACAUAACAAUCAUCUGUUCCUUAGCAGGUCUAAAAAUUAGGUAAAUACAACCUCAGAUGAACAACGCGACACAAUACAGCGUGUCAUGAUUGAACAUAAAUAACACCAAAAUGGAGAAACCAUGUGUGAAAAACUAUGAUGCAAUAGUUUGUAGAAUCACAUUUAGCAGAAAUAAUGUGAAGUAGUAGUUUUUUGUAUGACGUUAUCAGUCUCUCACAUCUUUGUGGAGGAAUUUUGUCCCACUCAUCUUUACAGCAUUGCUUUAGUUCAUUGAUGUUUGCUGGCAUUUGUUCACGCACAGCUCUUUAUAAACAAGAAUGAGAGACUGCAGGUCUCAGUUUUUGCAAAUAACAUAACAGGAGUAGGACACGCAGGUCCCAUUUAAAUGAACAUGCAUGGAACACUGCGAAGAUUCUCGUAGGUUAGGGGUUUGCGAGCUGUCUCCUUGAGCGUGUGCAGUGACUGUCUUGUAGGGGAGGGAUGGAUGGGUGGAAGGAAAGAAGAGUAAAGGAGAGAAAAAAAGAGGAGGAAGAGAGAGAAAGAAAAAGAAGAAAAUGGGGCAGUUAGGCUCUCUCGGUAGCGGUACUGCACAGCUCUUUUAAGGUCCCGCCACAGCCUUUAAAUUGGGUUGAGGUCUGGACUUUAACUGGGCCAUUGGAACACAUUGAUUAUUUUCUUUUUCAGUCAUUCUGUUGUAGAUUUGCUGAUGUGCUUGAGAUCAUUGUCCUGCUGCAUGACCAAUUUGACCAAGCUUGAGCUGUUGGACACAUGACGUCACAUUUUACUCUAUAAUAUUUUGAUACACAGACGAGUUCAUGGUCGACUCAAUAACUGCAAUGUUCCCCGGUCCUGUGGCUGCAAAACAAGCCCAAAUCAUCACCCCUCCACCAACGUGCUUGACCCUUGGUAUGAGGUGUUUGUGCUGAUAAGCUGUGUUUGGUUUUUGCCAAACUUGGCGCUGUGCAUUAUGGCCAAACAUCUCCAAUUUUUUCAAAGGACUUUGUUCCAGAGGUCUUGUGGUUUGUUCAGAUGCAACUUUGCAAACCUAAGCCGUGCUGCGGUGUUCUUUUUAGAGGGAAGAUGCUUCCUUCUGGCAACCCUUCCAAACAAACCAUACUUGUUCAGUCUUUUUCUAAUUGUACUUUCAUGGACUUUAGCAUAUCACAGUCUGAAUUCGCUGGGACGUCCACUCCUGGGAAGAUUGGCAGCUGUCUUGAAUAUUUUCCACUUUUUAAUAAUAUUUCUCACUGUAGAAUGAUGGACUUUAAAUUGUUUGGAAAUGGCUUUAUAACCCUCCCCAGUUUGAUUGACAAGAACAAUUGCUUUUUUGGUUGUGACAUGGCUGGAGGAGGGAGUGUGACAGGAUUGGAGGUGGUUAAUGUGACAGGGUGCGUGUGUGGGGGGAGUGACAGGGUGUGUGGGGGGGCUCUGGGGUGACAGGGUGGGUGGCAGUGAUAGUAUGUGGGAAGGGUUGUGACAGGGUGGGGUGGCUUUGACAAGUUGCGUGGGGGGCUGUAGCAGGGUGUCAGUGGAGUGACAGAGUGGAGGUGCCUGUGAGGGUGUGUGUGAGGACAGGGUGUGGGGGGCUAUGACAGGGUGAAUGUGGGGUGUGGGAUAACAAGGUGUGUGGGAGUGGCUGUGACAGUGUUUAUGAGGGCUGAGAGAGGGUGGGGGCUGAGAAAGGGUAGUGGGGGUUGAGAGGGGUUAGGGGGCUGAGAGAGGGUGGGGCAGCUGAGAGUGUAGUGGUGGCGCUGAGAAAGGGUAGUGGGGGCUCAGAGAGGGUUGGUGGCGGAAAAAGAGUAGUGGGGGAUAAGAGAGGGUAGGGGGCUAAAACAGGGUGGGGGGCUGAGAGAGGGUGAGGGUGCCAGGUUUGCGGGUGCUUAUAAAUACCUUUUUUUUUACCCCCUUUAAUUAUUCCCUGGUGGUCCAGUGUCUCUGUCCCUGAUGGUCCGGUGGGCAGGUUCUCUGGUCUGCAGCUCCACUAGGCGCAGAGCUGCAGACCACGUGGUAAGUCUCUUGCGAUCUCCAGUCAGGGCAUUGCCGUGGUAACCCGCAGCAACGCUCUGAUACACUGAAGAUCCUGAGACAAUUCAGUCCGCAGCUCUGCGGCUCUGGUUAACACACAGGGCUGCCAUCAGAAAUUUUGACACAGUUCAAAGUGUGGGCCCCCCCGGACCCACCCCCGAUUCUGCCCACCGGGCCCAUUCUGAGUCCACCCACAAGGAUGCCCUGUCUUUGUGGUGUGUAAAAUGGAUACAGAUUGCACAUUUGUAUAAUGGAUGUAGUUUUGUGUGUUUUAGAUACAGUGUGUGUUUGUGUAGUGAAUGCAGAGUGUGUUUGUGUUGCAGUGUUAGUGUGUGUUUGGUGACUGCUGUGUGUUAUUGUGUUGUGGUUUUAUUGUGUGUAUGGUGAAUGCAGUGUGUGUUUGUGUUGUGGUUUUAGUGUAUGUAAAUGUGUAAAAUGGGGGGCUAGGACUAGGGAGGGGGAGAUUGCAUCCCUGGUGGUCCGGUGGUCUGGUAGAGGGAGCCAGCCGCUGUAGCAAAAAUCGCUAUCUAUAUGUGCACAAAUGGAAAGUGGGGCCUGGGACUCCCAGAGCAGUCCGGGCCCCCCAGUGUAACAGUUCUCACCGCGACAGACAGCCAGCCAGACAUGGUCAUCCCAGGAGUGCCCAGCAAGGGAUUUGAACGUGGGUACUUUGCAGUCCUGGGGGUGCUAUUUUGCCUCUGAGCCACCAUACAACGUGUACAGUGUCAGUUCCUCGACUCUGGUGAUCAUACUGCGGUUUUGUGUUCUCCAGUUUACUCUUGACCUUGGCUUGUUACUCCAAAUAUCCUGACUUCUGGCAUCCUCUGACCUCGGCUUUCUUCUCGUUUAUCCUGAUUUCUGGCACCCUCUGACCUCUGGCUUACCCACGAUGAUUCUCCUGCUUUAUCCAUUCCUGUACUGCGACUUGGAGAAUUAUCCUGCACAGCCCCCGUGCACCGACUCACAGGCCAGGUGAAUUCUUACCUGACCACCUCGGCCUGUGUUUACUUGCAAAGGGUGAGCAUAUAUCUCUGCCUGCCGGACUCCCAACCCAGGUAAGCCCUGACACCCAGGACCGCCGGGCCCAUGACAACCGUUAUGGUUGUCAUGCCCUGAUAGCGGCCCUGUUAACACACACCUGAAUGCUCCAGACUAACAAAUUGCUAAAAAUGCAGCUUUUAUAGAGGUGGUCACACUUGCUGAUGAUCAAUUAAUCAAUGGCAUUUGAUUAGCAGAACCAGUCUGCUACUUAGCCUCUUAAUUUCUAUGGAAGCAGUGAAGGUGUAGUUUUUCACACAUGGCUUCUCCACUUUGGCUUUAUUUUUGUUAAAGGAACACUAUAGGAAAACAAACAUGUAUUCCUGACCCUAUAGUGCUAAACCCAUCACUUAGGUGGCUUGCCCCCACUAAGCCCCCUUAAAAGAAUUUUAUUUCCAGUGCCAUGCGGGUCCAACGGCACUGGCUCCGCCCGUGAUCCGCCUCCUUGAUGACAUCAUCAGAAUUGCCAGCAUUGGAUUGGCUAAAAUGGGCAAGGAGGAGGGAUGGGGACGGGGCCAAAUGCCGUUUUGGUCAAUCCGCACUUCUUCAUAGAGAUGCAUUGAACCAAUGAGUCUAUAAUGAAAAUUCACCAUGCAGAGUGUGGAGAGGUUGAACAGCAGAGCUGCUUACUGUGCAGCACUGACCCAGGAAGCAUCUCCAGUGGUCAUCUGAGGAGUAGCCACUUGGAGGUGUCGCUAGGGGCAAUGUAAACACUGCGCCUGAAGGCAAUGAUUAUAGGCACCAGAACAACUACAUUAAGCUGUAGUUGUUGUGGUGAAUAUAGUGUCCCUUUAAUUAAAUCAUGACACAGUGUAAUAUGUCAUGUGUUGUUCAUCUGAGGUUGUAUUUACUUUAUUUUAAGGCCUGCUAAGGAACAGAUGAUUGUUAUUAUGUUCUGAUUUAUGUUCUGAGUAGCACUCUACUCUCUCCUCCAGCUCUGCUUCACUUGAUAUUUCCUGUCCUAAUGUGUUUUACACCCCACCUCCUAUAGAUUGUAAACUCGUUUGAGCAGGGUCCUCUUCAACCUAUCGUUCCUGUAAGUUUUCUUGUAAUUGUCCAAUUUAUAGUUCAAUCCCCCCUCUCAUAAUAUUGUAAAGCGCUACGGAAUCUGUUGGCGCUAUAUAAAUGGCGAUAAUAAUAAUUUGUAAAACCAUAGAAUUCAGAGAGGGUGUACUUUCUUUUUCCCAUGACUGUAUACAGAUUAUUUUUUUUUUAGAAAUGUAAAUGUAUUAGAACAAUUUUUUUUGCCUCAAUAUCUUUUUUAACCCCUUAAAGACGAAACUUCUGGAAUAAAAGGGAAUCAUGACAUGUCACACGUCAUGUGUAUUUAAGGGGUUAAUAAAUAAAGUUAUAAUAAAUACUCUAAACGGUUUUCUGUAUAUGUGUGUCUGUGGACAGAUACAUUUCCACAGAUCUCAGCCUUUAUUCUCCUUACAUUUUCUCUGUUUCGCUUGCUAGUCUAACAUUUCCUUAUUCACUCUCUUCUCCUCCCAUUUAUAACAGUCAGCCUCCUCCGUCGUGUCCAAAGUUCAAAUUCCGUUCUUUCAUAUGACAGCAUUUCAAAGCCAUGGGAAAUAAACCCAGUGCUUCUCUGCUGCACUGUCAUUGCGUUCAAUUACAAAGAUCCAGACGCCGUUCCGUCUUCCAUUUUCAGUGGAUAGGUGAGAUGCCACCACCUGAGACUUGAGGUGAGCCCUGUUUACCAUCUAAAUCAUCCUAGUUUCCUGCCCUACAGGCCUAUCAUGACAGCAUGCAGUGCUGACCAUUGGUUUAAAUCAUAUGUAACACAGCACUCCUCAGCAAUUCUUUUCUUGAAAAAAAUAUUUGAGUGGAACUGCUGCCUAAGCUGAUAGCAUUCCCAGAGCUCCUGCUAUCAGCUUAUGAAGAGCUGUUGCAACAUCACUGUACCUUUACUGAAUUUACGGAAUACUGAAGUUGCUGUUGGAACUGUAAGCUUCACUCACAUGUGCUUGGGAGUCAUACAAGCACUUUGAUCAAAUGAACGGUUUAUGAGUGAGGAUGAAGUUAUGGCAAAACACAGAAGACAGGCAGCAAUCAUAGAAUUCAGACGACCUCACCAGUAAGUGUCCUUGGGCAAGAUAUUUAACGAUAUAUAUCUUCGAACCCUCACAGAUUGCAAUCUUGUUUGACCAGGGCCUUCUUCCUCUCUCAAUAUCCCUUUUCUUAGUGCUUUAGAAAUUAUAAUAAUAACAAGCUAUUGUGGUGUGGAGAGUCCCUUUCAUCACUAGAGCAGAAGUAUUCAAACCGUAGGCCUCUGGGUAUUCGUAACCCCCAAAACCUAUACCAGCCAAAAACACGUCAAGAGGCUGGUUGAAAUAUAUAUAUAUUUCUCUGUAAUAUUUAACUUAUUAUAUUUAGUGUUACUAAUCGAUCAAUGUAAGACUCACAACAAAUAAGCAGAGCCGUCUUUCCCAAUGAUCACGCUAGGCAGUUGCCUGGGGGCCCCACAUCCUUUGACCUAACCCUUAUGGAGAGCCAGCUCCGUUUUCUUUUGGUGGGUCCUCUCGGGCCAGUGGGGAGAUCAAAGAUCUCCCUCACCGGCCGAAAGGCCCUUCGUUAGAGAGGAGAGACAGCGGGAAGACCCGGAGACAGGAGGAGGGACUUGGGAGGAGAUCUCUCCUCCCACAAGCAUGUUGUGUAGAGCAUUGCUGCGCGUUGCCAUGGCAACACUACACACAGUGCUUAGCUCGGGAGGAGUGAAAAUAGCCUGCAGCCAGAGGAGCUGCAAGCUAUAUAGAUCAUGACCACUAGGGCAGUGUCCUCUGAAAAUUUCAUUAAUAAUGCACAUUCUGCAACACACACACACCCCUCACGUACAGCAUCUCUCACACACACACAGACACAUCACUCACCCCUCACGUACAGCACCUCUCCCACAUACACACACACACACACACCACUCACUUACAGCACCUCUCACACACACACACACCACUCACCCCUCACGUACAGCACCUCACACACACACACACCACAGCACCCCUCCAUGCAAACACACACACUGCACCCCUCACUGCAGUCUGUGUGUAUUUAGCAGUCUGUGUGUGUGUGUGUGUUUGUGUGUAUUCAACUGUCUGUAUGUAUUCAGCAGUCUGUCUGUGUGUAUUCAGCAGUCUCUGUGUGUGUUUGUGUAUGUAUUUAGCAGUCUGUCUGUGUACUCAGCCGUUGGUGUACAUGUAUUCAGCAGUCUGUGUGUAUGUAUUGUAUGUAUGUAUCUAUUGCAUUUGUUGGAGGUACCAAUAAAUAUAAACUUAAUUUUAUCUAUAAUUUACAUUUUUAUUCCUGGUAGUUGUUGUUUAUGUAGGGCCCCAGUGCACUGCUUUGCCCGGGGCCCAUAAUGCUGUAAAGAUGGCACUGCAAAUAAAGUCUUUCACAACAAGGAACUUAAAGUAUCCAUGUCCACCUUACAAGUGGUCAUUCCAAAGCAUAACAGUGAUAUUAAUGUUUCAGAAUAUCUCAGCUACUACCGUAUUUACUCGAAUCUAAUACACAACUUUUUUUAGCAUUAGAUUCAAUGGCUCAUUACAUUCGAGGCAAAAUUUGAAAUUGUCCGGUGAAUUAAAACGGCUGAAUUCAAACUAGUGAUUUAAAACUGGAGAAUUAAAACACAUGAAUUGAAACUCACAAAUUAAAACAGGUGAAUUCACACAGGAGAAUUUCAUUCCAGCAAAUUCACACAAGCACAUUUUGUUCCUGAAAGAGGGCUUAAGAAAGAAAAGACUUAAAAUGUAACACUAAAAUUGAAAUCGCAUCAAUAUUACUAUAGUGUAAGGCAAUAAACAUUUUCAUUGUAGCACAAUUUUGUUUAGUAGUAUCUCCUUGUAUAAAUGCGCAUUACAUUCGCCAGCAAAAACAUUUUUCAGCUUCCAGGUUUCAAAAAUUAAGGUGCGCAUUAGAUUCAAUGGCACAUUAGUUCAAGUUUAUCUCAGAGAUAAAAACUGAAUUGGAAAAGUUCUCAACUCUGUUUGUUUCACAGUGCAGUUAUUUUAAUCUAAAAUUAGAUCAAAUAAAAACUAAAGGGAAGCGUACAAUUGUGCAUAUAACACAAAGUGAUAAAAAAAAAAGGCAGUGUACUUACAGAAAAUUAAAUUUUAUUCGAUAGGUUAGAACAGCGGUUCCCACACUGUGUGCCGGGCACACAAGGGAGCCGCGAUAUAUUUUCCCGGUGCUAUGAUUAUAGCACUGGUAACUGUGCUGCCCUCUCCCCUGCUGUCUCUGCAGGACUGGAGGGGAGAUCAGAGAUCUCCCUCUCAGGCCCGCUAGCAGUGUAAUGCUGGCAGCCGGUAGGGGAGAGAAGACAUGGGGGAGCUUUAACCUGCAGCUCUGCCGGGUUCUCCUCUCGCAAGCUCGAAACGUUGCCGCAGUUACCACAGCAACCACAGCAAUGCUCCGAAUCUCGCAAGAAUGAACUCUAGCAGCUCCUGAGGUAGAUGACUGCUUAUACCCCGGUCGACUAUGAGUUACAAGGAGAGCAGGAGACAAAAGUGAAGGUGCAUUUUGCUUGUGUCUUUCUCCCCCAAACUCCUUUGUCUCUUUGUCCCCUUCCCCAGCCUGUUAGUGUCUUUCCCAGGCCACAGAACCUGUGUGUCUCUUUAACCACAUCUCCUCUGUGUGUCUCGUUCUCCCCUUCCCUAGCCCUUCUGUGCGUCUCUUUCCCAGGCCCCAGCAUCUCUGUGUGUCUCUUGUUCGUCUUCCUCAGCUCCUGUGUCCUGUUCCCCUUUCCCAGCCCCUCUUUCUCCCCAGACCCCUCUAAAAGACCCUGUCUUUUAAUUCCCCUGCCCCUCCAUGUGUCUCAUUCCACCCCCUCCAGUCUUACAUGUGUAUCAUUACCCCUGCCACCCUUCCAUGCUUCUCUAUCCAUCCCCCCAGACCCCCAUGUGUCUCAAUCCAUCCCCCAGACCUCCAUGUGUCUCAAUCCAUCCCCCAGCCCUUUAUGUGUCUCAUUAGCUCCCUCAGCCCCUCUAUGUGUCUUAUUAGCCCCUCCAUGUAUCUUAUUAGACCCCCAGUCACCCAUGUGUCCCUAUAGCCCCCCUCCCAGCCCAUCAUGUGUCUCAUUCCACCCCAUCCAGCCCUCCAUGUGUCUCAUUACGCCCACCAAACCUCCAUGUGUCUUAUUAGCCCUUCCAUGUGUCUUUUUAGACCCCCCAGUCCCUCAGCCCCUCCAUAGGGCCCUAUAGCCCCUCCCAGCCCUCCAUGUGUCUCAUUGGCCCCCUCCCUCAGCCCCUCCAUGUGUCUCAGUAGCCCCCAUUUGUCCCAUUAGCCCCCCAGCCCUCCAUGUGUCCUAUUAGCCCUCCCUCCCAGCCCUCCAUGUGUCCCUAUACCCCCUUCCAAGCACUCCGUGUAUCCCACGAGCCCUCUCCCAGCCCUGUGUCUUAUUAGCCCUCCCUUGUGUCCCAUGAGCCCCCCAUGUGUCCUAUUGACCCUCUCUCCCAGCCCUCCACGUGUCCCUAUACCCCCCUCCCAGCCUUCCAUGUGUCCCAACAGACUAGCCUCCCCUCCUAGCCCUCCAAGGUGUCUCAUUAGUCUCCCCCCCCCCCAGCUUUCCAUGUACCUUGCUAUAGUGUGGCCGAGCAAGCAGACCGCUGUGGAGGAGCUCCUGCUUGCUGUACACGGUCUGACAGGAAGCAGUUCUGUGCUCUCUGUGAGCACUUCCUGUCAGACCGGGUAGGGGAACAGAAGUUCCUCUACCGUGAUCUGCCUGCUCGACCAUGCUUCAUUCUGUGACCAGCAGGAGGGAAGCCCAUCCCCUUCUGCCGAUUACCCUGUAAUUGCACCGUGUGGCCGUGCACCGGCCCAAUAGUAUGCCGGCCCAACCGGAAAUGUCCAAGUCCGGCCUUGUUUGCAGCUCUUUAUAGCAAAACCAUGCACAUACACGACAUACAUGACCACUUCAAAUCACUUAAGUGGUAAUGUUGCUUGGGGUAAUCCUUUAAAGCUCUUUGUGUCUCGAACGGUAACAAACUGCCCAGCACAGUAAGAAAUCCUUGAACGCACAGACAUAUCCAGACAUCUGUGGUAUGUUGUUAACAAUACAAUAUAUAAAGGAUAAUGACAUACUACUGUUCCAUCACAUGACACGUGUUCAACAAUGAUGUAACUUGUUACAAUUCUGCAAAUUACAGUACAAGCAAUAAGCACCUCAGAAAGCAGCUGUGGCAUAUACUAGACGUGCGCAAAAGUUGUUUUGGAUUCCACACCCCAAUAAAUUGAUCGUUCAGGAUUUGCCUGUGAACUCUUAUUCAUGUUGGCCUUCAAAAAUAACUCUUAAAGAGACAGGGUCAGGAACACAAACGUGUUAAAACACUAUAAAGCCACCCGGCCACUCCUUGCCCCCCUUAAAAAAGUAGAAAACAUACCUUAUUUCCAGCGCCAUGUAGAUCUGCCAGUGCUGGCCCCAAUCCCCUGCCUUGGCAGACAUAAUCAAAAUCGAUGAUCUCAGCCAAUACAAUGCUUUCCCAGUGGAGGAACCCAGGAAUUACACAUGCCAAUGCUUCUCUAUGAAUGAAUUCAGCAAAGGCAGAGUAAGCUUUAUAAGCAAAUUAGUAACCCUCUAACAAAAUAGGGGGAUUAAUAUACUAAGCACUAACACUCGAACAUUAAAAACAAAUAUAUUGUUUUUCCUUAGCAGUUGUACAUUCUGGUUUUAUUUAAUUUAUUUUUUUUACAUUGACUUUAUCCUUUUAUGUAAUGUUUUUGGGAAUAUUACACAAAAUUAUUAACUGAAUUUACAUUUUUAUUACCUUUAAAAGCUGACAAAUUAUAAAGUGUUUCAUUUUAAAUCUGGUCAAACGUCAGUGUUAUGAAACCCUCUAAAUUUAGGCUUGCCAAAGAUUUCAUCUGGGUGUUUAAAUUCUUUUUUUUAUUUAUUUUUUUUUAAUUCUCGCUAACAUUUAACUUCAAGGGACAUAACAUUCUGAGACGAGAUUGAAACUUAGAUAAAGUUGUGUAAUUGUGUAAAAGGUGAUGAUGUGCAUGGCAUUUCUAAACAUGUCUGACAAACAAUUCUCUGAAAGUACACAUGCUCAAAUUUGAAGUCUUGAAUGUAGGAAAUCCUGUUUUAAAAAAAAUGUUCAUGCGGCCAACAAUAGGGGCUUUCUAAACAAAGAUAUACUUGGAACAGAAUGGACAACCUUUGGUGCUUUGUAUUUUUACUUGUUUUGGAUAUUUACAACAAACAAAUCUGUGAAAAUAUUAGUAACCAAUAUCAACAGACUGGAAAUGUACCUUUAUUUUGUGAUGAUUAGAGUUUUGCAAAGUGAGAAAAUCUGUCAUUUUUCUCAAAAACAGAACAUUUUUCACGAUGCAAGGAUUCCGGCACUGUCCGUUUUGCUCAGCAAAUUAUAUUAACUGUAUAUGUGAAACCAAGUGGCUGCACUCACCUGAACAUGCACCAUACAAGAUCCAGGGCACUCGCUUAUUCACUAAACAGUAAUUUCAAGUCUCACAGAAUGUAAUGGUUUUAUUUAAAAACGCCUCACCUAGGCAAAAAUAAUGGGGGUUUAGUUACAGUAUAUAAUCAUACAUUACAUAAGCCUGCCAAAACUUCAAAGUACCCCAUUCUUGGUCGGUCCUACUCUAGCACCUAAUGCCUGCUCGUAUUCGAUUAUUCCAACUUGCCCUGCAGAGAGCUUCAGGAGCAGGCAUUUCCCAAGUAAGUGGAUUAAUCAGUAAAUAAAUACAUAUAUAUAUUUACUGUCGUUCCUUUUCCACUAAACUGGUCACUUCCUAUUCGAUCUGUGAAUAAAAUCAAUAUUUAGUGACUGUCCUCUCACCAUUACUCAUCUCAUUUCCCAUAAUCAACUCUUUUUCGGCACCACAGGCAUAAAUCAGAAUCACAAACCAAAACGGACAUGCUCAGCCACUGCGCGUUUUUGUAGUUUUGUGAUUCUGACACAUUUCAGCGCAGAGAUUCAGAAUUCAACAACUCACUCUUCUGCAGUCUAUUGUCAGACAAUUCUUUGGCAAAAAGUCUGCGCCAAAGAAUUGCCUGACAGGUGGAAGAAAGACUAUUUUUUAUAUAUCGAUUUGUCUCGCAAAGUACACAUGUGCGAACAGAUCUGCUAGCAUAAUGUAAACAUAGAAAAGCAUAAGUUCUGUCUAGCAUGACAGGUGCUCUUUAAUUAUUACAAAAUGGUUGUGACCAGUUUAAUGGUGCCAACACCCAAGCAUUUUUUUUUUGUCCACCAAGAACCAACCCUUCUGAGUCAGUUGAUUAACGGUCACCGAGGCUCUUUUCAGCACCCUGUGCCUCUCUUUAACUAGAGCUUCUUCUAUAAAUUUCAUUUUAAGUCUUGCAAACAACAAUUUUUGUAUUAUAAACCUACAGAAAGCCUUCACCAUCUUUUGAAUACCAACCAUCGUACCUCCUGUUCUUGCUUCCUUGUGGGACACAUUCUCAACUAUGACCUCUCCGUCACAUCUCAUGUCCAAUCAAUUUCCAAAUCCUGUCACAGUCAUCUAAAAAUAUAGCUGAUUUAACCAUUUUCUAAUGAAAAAAAAACAAAAACUUAAGCUUUUUCUUCACCCACUCAUUAUCUUCAUAUUGACUACUGAAACGAACUGGUCAUUGAUCUCAUAACUUACAGUUCAGAAUUAAAAUGCGACCUGACUUUAAUUAUAAUCUGUAUUAACUGAACAUAUCACAUUACUCUUCUCAUACCUCAUCCGAUAUCAAUAUAUCUGCUUCUUGUAUACUACAGAAUUUUAAUUAAAUUUUUGAUUUUUACCCACAUUUUACAUAACUGCACCUCAAAUUGUACAUGCCCACCAGUUAUCAAGUACAUCUCAUCUCGUUAUAUAUGCUAUAUCGAUCUAUAGAAAACAAAGUGCUUUUGGUGUUUCUAAAAUUGUAAUAAAGAUACACGUGCAGCACUAAGCAAAAUCACAAAAAUAUACUGGACACAAAGUGUGCACAGUGCCACUCACGUUGUUCAGAGCUGUACACAGGCUCUGAAAGAAUUACACAAGGGUGCCCCUUCAAAAAGCUAAAAUAGGGAAUUGAGCAGGAACCAGUAUUCCAAAAAUGUAUAUUUAUUAUACACCUAAUAACUCUGCUCUUUUUUUGCCUAUUUUAUUAAAUGUAUAAUAAAGAUACCUUUUUUGGCAAAUCGGGUUCCUACUAAAUUCUAUCUUUUAGCCUGUGAAGGGGGCACCCUUGUGCAAUUCUUACAGAGCUUUUGAAUGGCUUGUCACCAUCGACCCAUCUAUUGUCCAGUUCUUGUCAAGUACUAAACGGGAAAAUGAACUCCUUAAUGAUCACGGCCACAAAUUGUUACAAUAUCAGAGGAGUUGUAAACAGGGUAAACUAAAAUAAAUAGAGAUGAAAUAGGUCAAUUCAUUUUUAUCAAGGCAGUGCCCAACGUCACAUAUGCCAAAUCAUACGUGGCAGCUCUGGACGAACUGAACAGUCUAAAGUCUCUCUGGCAGACUUGACUCUAUAACAUGGGCCAGAUACAGUAUUUAUUGUAAUAAUGAGAGCUUGGCAAAUUAUUACAGUCACUGAAGGGCAAACUCAUAGCAAUCCCUCAGCCAAUAAAGGGUUAAAGUUGGAUGACCUAGAAAAAUCAGGAAUAUGCUGUGGAUGCCUCUGGGUUGGGAACAGUGAUAUUUAAAAUUGCAUAAGAUUUGAAUUUUGGAUGUUUGCCCUGAAAAAUAUUGCAGUGAUUUUCUAUUUCUACGAUGCUUAUGAAAUCCAUUUAAAAAAAACAAAAAAAAAACAAUUUUACAACUAAGGAAAUUGUAUUUUUGGCAUUUAAUUUGGGAUGUAAGACCAAGAGAUAACAUGGGAUGAGACAGACAUGUUAAUAGCCAAAGAAAAGUUACCUGCGCUCUUCCCAAAUCCCUAUGCAUAUUUAAACAAAUAGAGAUUAUUCAGUUUCUCCAAUGGCCAUGAGAGACUUUUGCCCACCUGCCACGUCAAAGCAAACUUCUCAGGUGGAUCCUACACUAACCUUUCCUCUUGCUUCUUUGAGUUUCUGGCAAAGAUAUCACCAAUGAGUCAGAAAGGAGUAUUUUUUUUUUUUAUAUACCCAGGUUACGAAAGCUGGUAUGGUAGAUACCCGUUCGCCUAUUUCCUCCCGAACUGCUGAAGCCUGAGUGAUUAUAGCUCGCAGUUCGGGUGUAGAUUUGAACGAUUCCAGACGAAUGCAGCAUUCAAGUAGUUUCUCCCCAGCAAGUAGACAUUUACUGAAACAUCAGCCUGGACUAGAUGAAGGGUACAACAGGAAUGAAGUUUAAUGGUGACACACUGGCUUUUAUACAAGUCCCCAUGCAAGGGACACUCCCAUCCGGACCUUGUGGGGGACUCCAACACAAAGUCAACAACCAAUUACAGUUCAGGGGUUUUCAAAUUCCAUGGAUGUCUUAAUUUGACCGACCGCACACGAGGCUUCUGCCCAGAAAUAGUACCAUGAGUUUAGGUUGUGCGGUUGGUCUAUUUCGGGAAGUUUUGAAACUGAACAAAUACACGAACAGUACCCCCUGGCUCAUAGCAGUGAUUGUUCCUUUAGUUCGUGGGAACAAAACUACCGAACAGCGCUCUCCUGGCUGUUUGGUAAAAGGAAGCAGGCGUUCGUAAACUUUGACCAGUGUUCGGGAAGUCGAGUGUCUGAUUUUAGUUCCAAAUACUCGACGACCAAAUCCCGCUGCUUCCUUUCGUGCCACACAGUGAGAGCAAUUAAACGACUGUUCUCUUUGAAGUUAAUGAGCCAAGGGUGUGGUCGGUGUUCGGUAGUUUCAACUACCGAACCAAAAAAAGUCAAAGUCCCAAAUAAACAGGGUAGUUUCAUCACACCCCCCUACAUGCUUAUUAACCCUUAAUAGGGAACACAUUGGAUGGGCAGCAGCAUUAUAACGUAGCUGUGUGAUACAAAAGUGAAUACAAAUACAAAAAAAAACAAGUCCUGCGCUCAAACUCCCAUCACUCCUGGGCGGCAACAAUGACCAUAGUACACCUCAGCCCCAAUACAUACAGUAAAAACCAAAGAAAAAAGUUACCUGCGCUCUUCCCAAAUCCCUAUGCAUAUUUAAAAAAAAUGGAGGUUAGUUAUCUCUCAAUAAAGACAAUAUAUAGAAUACUCCUCUUACUGCAUAUUGGAAGUACAGCAGAAUUAUAUCUAUAAUGGGGAAAAAAUAAAAAUCUCAUAGUAUAGUAUAAAAAGCAAAUUUAGUAAUCAGAUCCACUCACGUUGUUCAGAGCUGUACACAGGCUCUGAAAGAAUUACACAAGGGUGCCCCCUUCAAAAGUUAAAAUAUGGAAUUUAGCAGGAACCAGUAUUACAAAAAAGUAUAUUUAUUAUACUCUUAAUAACGCAGCUCUCUUUUUUGCCUAUUUUAUUAAAUGUAUAAUAAAGAUACUUUUUUUUUUUUUGCAAAUCCUACUAAAUUCCAUCUUUUAGCCUGUGAAGGGGCACCCGUGUGCAAUUCUUACAGAGCUUUUGAACGGCUCUGGACAAAGUGAGUGGAUUUGAUUAUGACAAAAUUUGCCUUAUAUAUUAUACUAUGACAUUUUUCAUUUAUUCUCAUUAUAGAUAUCAUUCUGCUGUACUCCCACUAGACAGUAAGGAGAGUAUCCUACGUAUUGUCUUUAUUCUGGGUAUAUUCAACCUAUUGAGAGCACUAGGCAAACUUUACUUUUUAUAUAUCGAUGACUUAAGUCUGUUUUUUGUUCACAACCCACCUCUUACUUAAAAGACUUCGAGGACUGUCCCAUUCAUAUGCAAUGGCUUGUCACCAUCGACCCAUCUAUCGUCCAGUUCUUGUCAAGUACUAAACAGGAAAAUUCACUCCUUAAUGAUCACGGCCUCAAAAUGUUACAAUAUCAGAGGAUUUGGUUAAUCCUUUUAAGAUUCUUUUCUUUCAGGAAGUGUUCCGGAGGAUCGGAGGAAGGCAGAUGUGGUUCCUAUAUUCAAAAAGGGUUCGAAAUCCUUGCCUGGAAAUUAUAGACCUGUG